rfam:Trichobilharzia regenti genome assembly, scaffold: TRE_scaffold0038646
AUCCAGCUGACGAGUCCCAACUAGGACGAAAUGCAUAUCCUAGAU